rnacentral:misc_RNA from 1 species
GAUGAAGAACGUAGCGAAAUGCGAUAAGUAAUGUGAAUUGCAGAAUUCAGUGAAUCAUCGAAUCUUUGAACGCACAUUGCGCCCGGCAGUAAUCUGCCGGGCAUGCCUGUCCGAGCGUCAUUUCACCCCUCGAGCCGCUUUUAGUGGGUCGGUGUUGGGGCACUACGGUAAAACGUAGGCCCUGAAAUGAAGUGGCGGUCCCGCCGCGGUGCCCCCAUGCGUAGUAACGUUUAGUCUCGCAUCGGGUCCCGGCGGAGGCCUGCCGUCAAGCCUAUUUAUUCUCAGAAUAGUUUGACCUCGGAUCAGGUAGGGUUACCCGCUGAACUUAAGCAUAUCAAUAAGCGGAGGA